ACGAGAACGAAGUAAGGUCAGUAGCUCAGAAUGGCAGCUGGAACAGUAUUAAUCUAGACACCACGCUCGCUACAUCUCCCCAGUCUCCACGCCACCACCAACCUUCGAGUCUACGCAGCCUAGGGUCCGUCUGUGUAUUGUCGUGGGUGUGACGUUCAACAGCGGCAGGAACAACAAUGGGAAGCUUGAUCUGCGUGGGUUUUCGUGCGGCGGGGUGACGUGCCACUGCUGUGAGGUUAUCGGACCACACCACACCACACCCCAGCCCAGCGGAGGAGAGGCGUUGACGAUCCAAAGGCCUGACUAUACAGCGGUAAUGAGCCUCGUCUACCUUGCACGGAAAACGCUCACUACCAACACCUUUGCUUCCGCCACCGCCGCAAGAUUGGGGAAGGACUCGCUGCCUUGCAUCGCGCACACGGUCUACUCUUAACGACCGCCGCCGUUGAGGGAGACUGGCUGGAUGAGUGAGUGAUAGAGGCGAGGCAGGUGUGGCGAGGCGGAAGAUUGGAGACGAGAACCAACUGAUGACGGCGGACACGGAAGAUUCCACUAACCAGGUAGAUGAAUGUGUGGCAAGAUUGUGCUACACCGCCGCCACCAGUGAUUCAGCUUCGCAUAGCAGACAUCGUCCUAUUCAACGCUUGCUGCCACCACCUUAUGGUGGUGUCACUGUACUUGAAGCUUGGAUCUGUUGUCACUACUGAUGAAUAAAUUGUAGAGAUAUCUUUG